AGGCAGUACAACUCCCAGCAGGCAUUGCCGAUCUGCACUCCGGCCUGGCCAACGUGGACUGAGAUGCAUUCCCUCUGUUGUGGGUGGUGAGGAUGGCGUUGUAGGGCUCAACUACAGCUGUGGAGAUCUGAGGAGCUGGGUAGAUGGCGAACUCCAGCUUGGACUUCUUGCCGUAGUCAA